rnacentral:rRNA from 1 species
CAGCAGCCGCGGGAAUACGAGGGGGGCAAGCGUUGUUCGGAAUUAUUGGGCGUAAAGGGCGCGUAGGCGGUUUGACAAGUUUGGUGUGAAAUCUUCGGGCUCAACUCGAAGUCUGCAUCGAAAACUGCCGGGCUUGAGUAUGGGAGAGGUGAGUGGAAUUUCCGGUGUAGCGGUGAAAUGCGUAGAUAUCGGAAGGAACACCUGUGGCGAAAGCGGCUCACUGGACCAUAACUGACGCUGAGGCGCGAAAGCUAGGGGAGCAAACAGGAUUAGAUACCCCAGUAGUCCCUGUCUCUUAUAC